rnacentral:rRNA from 1 species
GAUGAACGCUGGCGGCGUGCCUAAUACAUGCAAGUCGAGCGAACAGAUGAGAAGCUUGCUUCUCUGAUGUUAGCGGCGGACGGGUGAGUAACACGUGGGCAACCUGCCCUGCAGAUCGGGAUAACUCCGGGAAACCGGUGCUAAUACCGAAUAGUUUUCGCCACCUCCUGGUGGCGUACGGAAAGACGGUUUCGGCUGUCACUGCAGGAUGGGCCCGCGGCGCAUUAGCUAGUUGGUGGGGUAACGGCCCACCAAGGCGACGAUGCGUAGCCGACCUGAGAGGGUGAUCGGCCACACUGGGACUGAGACACGGCCCAGACUCCUACGGGAGGCAGCAGUAGGGAAUCUUCCGCAAUGGACGAAAGUCUGACGGAGCAACGCCGCGUGAGUGACGAAGGUUUUCGGAUCGUAAAACUCUGUUGUGAGGGAAGAACAAGUACCACUUAACUACUGGUACCUUGACGGUACCUCACCAGAAAGCCACGGCUAACUACGUGCCAGCAGCCGCGGUAA